ensembl:snoRNA Small nucleolar RNA SNORA31
GUGCAUCCGCUGAUAGACCUAAAGCAGGCUUUCUUGGCUUUUGGGUUUGCAUAGUGAUGCUAUAGUAAACAUUCCUCGCGCUUCCUGGCUGCUUAGACUGGCUGCACAGAUUGAAUUGAGGAGUACACUU